rnacentral:rRNA from 1 species
GACGAACGCUGGCGGCGUGCCUAAUACAUGCAAGUCGAACGCAGUGGGGACGGGUGAGUAACACGUGGGUAACCUCCCAUCAGAGGGGAUAACACUUGGAAACAGGUGCUAAACCGAUACUGUUGGAUUGUCCUGCGGGGCAUUAGCUAGUUGGGGCGGUAACGGCUCACCAAGUCCACGAUGCAUAGCCGACCUGAGAGGGUGAUCGGCCACACUGGGACUGAGACACGGCCCAGACUCCUACGGGAGGCAGCAGUAGGGAAUCUUCGGCAAUGGACGAAAGUCUGACCGAGCAACGCCGCGUGAGUGAAGAAGGUUUUCGGAUCGUAAAACUCUGUUGUUAGAGAAGCGGUAACUAAAGAGAAAGCCACGGCUAACUACGUGCCAGCAGCCGCGGUAAUUG